GGUCGCCGAGAUUUCGAGACAUAAUUUAUUCAGCGAGACAAUGCCUAUUGUCGGCUCGGCAGCCCAAGAAUCAGGAGCCACCUCAGCUCAUAACAGAGCCAUAUCAGGUAUUCCCAGACUGAACACACCUGCUCUUUCUGCUGCCCGCUGCGAAAGUGCUAUCUCCUCAGUGCGAUUAGAUAAGAAGGCACUGAGUAUUUAAAGAUCGACUGAGUAGCUUCUUCUAGUAGACGCAGGCCCAAGCGGAGUGACCAUGAAGGUCUUCGUCAUCGCCAUCGCUCUGGCGUUAGCCGUCCAGUGCAGCUGUGCCGAACAGGAAGUCGAGCCCGUGGAAAACGUCAGCCAACUUCGUGAACUCUACCCGAAACCUUGGCUUCCACGGCCAUGGCCCUACCCCAGGCCUUACCCAUUUCCUCGGCCAUGGCCACACCCUUGGCCUCAGCCCUGGCUUUUGCCGGAACAAAGGAUGUCCAUGCUAAAAGACCUGCCGGAAGCGGAGAUUUCCACCGAUGCGCAAACGAAGACGAGGCAGCGCCGAGCCACAAUUCCCUGGCCCCGACCCUGGCCCCAGCCUUGGCCCCAGCCCUGGCCACAGCCUUGGCCUCAUCCAUUCCCUAUU